rnacentral:rRNA from 1 species
AACGAACGCUGGCGGCAUGCCUAACACAUGCAAGUCGAACGAGCCCUUCCGGUCUUGUGGCGCACGCGUGCGUAACGCGUGGGAACCUGCCCUUAGGUUCUGAAUAUCUCCCCGAAAGGGUUGCUAUUAUCGGAUAAUGUCUUCUGACCAAAGAUUUAUCGCCUUUGGAUGGGCCCGCGUUGGAUUAGCUCGUUGGUAGGGUAAAAGCCUACCAAGGCGACGAUCUAUAGCUGGUCUGAGAGGAUGAUCAGCCACACUGGGACUGAGACACGGCCCAGACUCCUACGGGAGGCAGCAGUGGGGAAUAUUGGACAAUGGGCGAAAGCCUGAUCCAGCAAUGCCGCGUGAGUGAUGAAGGCCUUAGGGUUGUAAAGCUCUUUUAUCCGGGAUGAUAAUGACGGUACCGGGAGAAUAAGCCCCGGCUAACUCCGUG